AUAUCCAUGGCUGAGCUGAGCUGAGCAGAAGAAAGCAAAGCAAGCAAGCACACGAGCACACGCUGCCAGAACAGCAAAGUUCGCUGCAGAUCGCGAUCAGAAAAAGGCAUCACAAGAUUUGAUUAUAUUUAGGCCCCCCAGCGCAGCAGGAGAGGCAGGCGAGUCGAGUAGGCGCUGUCCGGAAAUUCCCCAAUUAAGCCCACCUGCCUCUCCGCUUCUCUCCCUCCAGGCUCCACUUCCACUGCUCCGCCCGGCGCGCUCGACGCUGCUCGCGGGAGGGGACAUGUCGGCCUCCGCGUCGACGCCGGCCGGCGAGGAGAAGCAGGAGUUGGCGCCCGUGGUGCAGUGCAAGGGUGUCAACGACCUCGACAAGGUCGUCCUCCGCGAGGUCCGGGGCAGCUCCGUCGAGGUGUACCUGUAUGGUGGGCAUGUGACAUCAUGGAAAGAUGAGCAUGGAGAUGAGUUACUCUUCGUUAGCAAUAAGGCUAUUUUCAAGCCUCCAAAAGCUAUACGUGGAGGAAUACCAAUCUGCUUUCCACAGUUUUCCAACUUUGGAAAUCUGGAACAACAUGGAUUUGCAAGGAAUAAAGUCUGGGCCAUUGAUACUGAUCCGCCACCAUUUCCUGUGCCAACCACCAAUACAGCUUAUAUUGAUUUAAUCCUUAAACCUACGGAAGAGGAUUUGAAGAUCUGGCCUCAUAGUUUUGAAUACCGUCUGAGGGUUGCACUUAGUCCUGGUGGUGAUUUGAUGCUAACUUCACGUAUAAGAAACACUAAUGCAGAUGGAAAGUCAUUCUCUUUCACCUUUGCAUACCACACAUACUUCAAGAUUUCUGAUAUCAGUGAGGUGCGAGUAGAAGGUCUGGAAACUCUGGAUUACCUAGACAACUUACAAGACAGAGCCCGUUUCACUGAACAAGGAGAUGCAAUUGUUUUUGAAUCCGAACUGGACAGAAUAUAUCUGGGCACACCAUCAAAAAUUGCCAUUAUUGAUCACGAGAAGAAAAGAACAUUUGUUGUGAGGAAAGGAGGACUUCCUGAUGCUGGUCUUUUGUUUGGAAUCCUUGGGACAAAAAGGCAAAGGCUAUGUCAGAUUUUGGCGAUGAUGAAUAUAAACGCAUGGUUUGUGUGGAGGCAGCUGCUAUAGAGAAGCCGGUUACUCUAAAGCCUGGUGAGGAAUGGACUGGAAAGUUGGAACUUUCUGCUGUGCCAUCUAGUUAUUACAGUGGUCAGCUUGACCCUGACCGUGUGAUUCAGGAUUCAAGUGUCCCAGAGGAUUCAAUCAGCUAGUCCUUACUGUAAUUCUGUGCAGCAUUGCAGGUAGAGCAUUAUAUCAUGUAUAAGGGACACUGGCAGCAAGGAUUGUCACAAUGUUUCUUCUAUUCUAUUCAAAUCUUUGUUGUUUUCUAUUGGGGGUGCAUAUCGAACCAAGGGAUAUGGAAUUGGUUUCCUUUUUUGGAUCUCCGUGACAUAAAGGACAAGUCAGUGUUCAUACCCUGUAUAUGGAUGUUUGAGGCAAGAAACAUCUUCCAUGGGUUGUAAAAUAAAGAAAAAAAAUCCUCUUUACCGUUAAUCCAUUGUCUUUAGAUGUAAGUUCUAUAUUAAACCUAGAAAGCAGAGAUGUUGUGGAAAUGGACACACAUAAUGUGCAAACUGCUCCAGGCAUUGUAGCUUCUUGUGGUUGCAGGACAAAAUCUUCUUUGGACUCUA